AUCCAGAUGACGAGUCCCAAAUAGGACAAAAUGCACAUCCUGGAA
rnacentral:hammerhead_ribozyme from 1 species